rnacentral:pre_miRNA from 1 species
CGCGAAGGUGGCCGCUUACUUGGUAUUGUUGGUAGCGAUGCCUUAUCACAAUUCCAAGUAAGCCUGCAAUUACACAAGUGA